AUUUAAAUGCUAAAGGGCAGCUCCUCUACUGAAGGCAACUGAAGCCAAGAGAGCUGUGACAGUUUAUGCCAACUGAAGAUUUGCCUUUAAGUAAAUGUUUUAAACUUUUCACUAAGGAGACUAAAAUAAGCCAUAGCAUGAAACGUUAAGAGUAAAGAAUGAACUCUGGAGACCAGAGGGAUUUGGGAAAUGAAAUGAGAUCCAUCUUACUGGCACAUUUCCCCCUCCGUCUAUUUUUGGAAUUUAAAAAAUUCCCCCAGAUUUGUCUUCUACAGACCAGCUUUUUGUUCACAGACCAGCACUGAGCAGCCUCCUCUUUCACACAGGGCAGCUAUGCAACUUGCAACCAGAUAUGAGAUGAACAGGAAGAUUUGUAGUUGGUGAGCAAGUUGUGAUCAACCCAACUCCUCUGCAGAAUGCUGUGAUGCUCACCAUGACUGGCGGAUGUCCUGGAGAACCUGGCUCGCAGUUCGAGACCUUCAUGAAACUUAUGGAACAUUCUCUCAACUGCAGUAGCCCAGAGAUGGCAAAGGCACAAUCGCAGGCCUCUAGUUCUUGGCUUCUGUGUGUUGGCAUUGCCUUUGAAUGUGCUAAACGCUGUGGUCAAGAAAAGUUCUGGUUUGCAGGAAAGCAAGCUUUCAGACAAUUGCUAUUCUCAGUGGAUUUUCUAAUAAUUCAGUACCUGUCUCUGCACUCGUCCCCAUUCAGUACGACAAGGCAAAUCAUACGACCUGGAUCAUACACCGAGCUACAGUGCAAACAGGUGGGACUCCAAUGAUCUCAGCAAGCUCCCUUCCAGAUCUGGCACAC
ensembl:lncRNA